UACGAGGGGGGCGAGCGUUUGUUCGGAAUUAUUGGGCGUAAAGGGUGCGUAGGCGGUUUGGUAAGUCUCGUGUGAAAUCUCCGGGCUCAACUCGGAGCCUGCACGAGAAACUGCCGGGCUUGAGUGUGGGAGAGGUGAGUGGAAUUCCUGGUGUAGCGGUGAAAUGCGUAGAUAUCAGGAGGAACACCUGUGGCGAAAGCGGCUCACUGGACCAUAACUGACGCUGAUGCACGAAAGCUAGGGGAGCAAACAGG
rnacentral:rRNA from 1 species